AACGCACAUUGCACCCGCUGGUAUUCCGGCGGGUAUGCCUGUCUGAGCGUCAGUAUACUCUCAAGCAUAGCUUGGUGUUGGAAGAAGAAUUGCCUUGUGCUGUUCCCUUCUUAAACUGAUUGGCAAGCCUACUGUAGAAGCAAGCGUAGUAGAAAUACAAUAGCUUAGUUAUACAGUUGACUUUGUCAAAAUCAAACUUUUUAAUGUUUGACCUCAGAUCAGGUAAGGAUACCCCCUGAACUUAA
rnacentral:misc_RNA from 1 species